AUUGUAUAGGCACACAAACACAACCGUCUGUAGCUGACGGUACCUCUUCAGUGCCUCCAUAUAGUGCACAAGAUCAUACAUCAGACUCUAUGGUCGAGGAUGACUAUGACGAAGAUGUCAUAUUUGAGGAGGACGAGGAAGAGGAUGAGGCAUACUUUUUCGCCGGUCAAGACGAGGAUGAGGGAAC